UACGAAGGGGGCUAGCGUUGCUCGGAAUCACUGGGCGUAAAGCGCACGUAGGCGGCUUUGCAAGUCGGGUGUGAAAUCCCCAGGCUUAACCUGGGAACUGCAUUCGAGACUGCAUUGCUAGAGUAUGGGAGAGGGAAGUGGAAUUUCCGGUGUAGCGGUGAAAUGCGUAGAUAUCGGAAGGAACAUCAGUGGCGAAAGCGACUUCCUGGACCAAUACUGACGCUCAUGUGCGAAAGCGUGGGGAGCAAACAGG
rnacentral:rRNA from 1 species